GUUGUAUAGUCAAGUAAUUAAGUGCAUGUGGUGGAUGCCUUGGCAGUCAGAGGCGAUGAAAGACGUGAUAGCCUGCGAAAAGCUCCGGGGAGGCGGCAAAUAUCCUUUGAUCCGGAGAUGUCUGAAUGGGGGAACCCACCUACUUUAAGGUAGGUAUUGCAACAUGAAUACAUAGUGUUGCAAGGCGAACGAGGGGAAGUGAAACAUCUCAGUACCCUUAGGAAAAGAAAUCAAUUGAGAUUCCCUCAGUAGCGGCGAGCGAACGGGGAUCAGCCCAUUAAGUUAUGUGUGUUUUAGUGGAACGCUCUGGGAAGUGCGAACGUAGAGGGUGAUAUUCCCGUACACGAAAGGGUACACAUAAUGAUGACGAGUAGGGCGAGGCACGUGAAACCUUGUCUGAAUAUGGGGGGACCAUCCUCCAAGGCUAAAUACUCCUGACUGACCGAUAGUGAACCAGUACCGUGAGGGAAAGGCGAAAAGAACCCCUGUGAGGGGAGUGAAAUAGAUCCUGAAACCGCAUGCAUACAAGCAGUGGGAGCACCUUCGUGGUGUGACUGCGUACCUUUUGUAUAAUGGGUCAGCGACUUAUAUUCAGUAGCAAGGUUAACCGUAUAGGGGAGCCGUAGAGAAAUCGAGUCUUAAUAGGGCGUUUAGUUGCUGGGUAUAGACCCGAAACCAGGCGAUCUAUCCAUGAGCAGGUUGAAGGUUGGGUAACACUAACUGGAGGACCGAACCCACUGUCGUUGAAAAGCCAGGGGAUGACUUGUGGAUAGGGGUGAAAGGCUAAUCAAGCCUGGUGAUAGCUGGUUCUCCCCGAAAGCUAUUUAGGUAGCGCCUCGGACGAAUACCAUAGGGGGUAGAGCACUGUUUCGGCUAGGGGGUCAUCCCGACUUACCAAACCGAUGCAAACUCCGAAUACCUAUGAGUACUAUCCGGGAGACAGACUGCGGGUGCUAACGUCCGUAGUCAAGAGGAAAACAAUCCAGACCGCCAGCUAAGGCCCCAAAAUCAUAGUUAAGUGGGAAACGAUGUGGGAAGGCAUAGACAGCUAGGAGGUUGGCUUAGAAGCAGCCACCCUUUAAAGAAAGCGUAAUAGCUCACUAGUCGAGUCGGCCUGCGCGGAAGAUGUAACGGGGCUAAAACUAUGUGCCGAAGCUGCGGAUGUAUACUUUGUAUACGUGGUAGGGGAGCGUUCUGUAAGCCGAUGAAGGUGUGUUGAGAAGCAUGCUGGAGGUAUCAGAAGUGCGAAUGCUGACGUGAGUAACGACAAAACGGGUGAAAAACCCGUUCGCCGAAAGACCAAGGGUUCCAGUCCAACGUUAAUCGGGGCUGGGUGAGUCGACCCCUAAGGCGAGGCCGAAAGGCGUAGUCGAUGGGAAAAUGGUUAAUAUUCCAUUACUUCUGUGUAAUGCGAUGAGAGGACGGAGAAGGCUAAAUCAGCCUGGCGUUGGUUGUCCAGGUGAAAGGAUGUAGGCAUGUAUCUUAGGCAAAUCCGGGGUACUCUAUGCUGAGAUCUGAUAGCAAGCUGUACUUGUACAGCGAAGUGGUUGAUGCCAUGCUUCCAGGAAAAGUCUCUAAGCUUCAGUUACACAGGAAUCGUACCCGAAACCGACACAGGUGGUCAGGUCGAGUAGACCAAGGCGCUUGAGAGAACUCUGCUGAAGGAACUAGGCAAAAUGGUACCGUAACUUCGGGAGAAGGUACGCUGUUGUUGGUGAUGGAACUCGCUUCCUGAGCUGACGACAGCCGCAGAAACCAGGCCGCUGCAACUGUUUAUUAAAAACAUAGCACUCUGCAAACACGAAAGUGGACGUAUAGGGUGUGAUGCCUGCCCGGUGCUGGAAGGUUAAUUGAUGGGGUUAGCGUAAGCGAAGCUCUUGAUCGAAGCCCCAGUAAACGGCGGCCGUAACUAUAACGGUCCUAAGGUAGCGAAAUUCCUUGUCGGGUAAGUUCCGACCUGCACGAAUGGCAUAAUGAUGGCGGCGCUGUCUCCAGCAGAGGCUCAGUGAAAUCGAAAUCGCUGUGAAGAUGCAGUGUACCCGCGGCUAGACGGAAAGACCCCGUGAACCUUUACUGCAGCUUGACACUGAACUUUGACCUUACUUGUGUAGGAUAGGUGGGAGGCUUUGAAGCUGGAACGCUAGUUCCAGUGGAGCCGUCCUUGAAAUACCACCCUGGUAAUGUUGAGGUUCUAACUCUGUCCCGUGAUCCGGGACGAGGACCGUGUCUGGUGGGUAGUUUGACUGGGGCGGUCUCCUCCUAAAGAGUAACGGAGGAGUACGAAGGUGCGCUCAGCGUGGUCGGAAAUCACGCGUAGAGUAUAAAGGCAAAAGCGCGCUUAACUGCGAGACCCACAAGUCGAGCAGGUACGAAAGUAGGUCUUAGUGAUCCGGUGGUUCUGUAUGGAAGGGCCAUCGCUCAACGGAUAAAAGGUACUCUGGGGAUAACAGGCUGAUACCGCCCAAGAGUUCAUAUCGACGGCGGUGUUUGGCACCUCGAUGUCGGCUCAUCUCAUCCUGGGGCUGAAGCAGGUCCCAAGGGUAUGGCUGUUCGCCAUUUAAAGAGGUACGCGAGCUGGGUUUAGAACGUCGUGAGACAGUUCGGUCCCUAUCUACCGUGGGCGCUGGAAAUUUGAGAGGAUCUGCUCCUAGUACGAGAGGACCAGAGUGGACGAACCUCUGGUGUACCGGUUGUGACGCCAGUCGCAUCGCCGGGUAGCUAUGUUCGGAAGGGAUAACCGCUGAAAGCAUCUAAGCGGGAAGCCUACCUCAAGAUAAGAUUUCCCUAGGACUUUAUGUCCUCUAAAGAGCCGUUCGAGACUAGGACGUUGAUAGGUUGGAUGUGGAAGCAUAGUGAUAUGUGAAGCUGACCAAUACUAAUUGCUCGUGAGGCUUGACUAUACAACACCCAAGCAGUUG
rnacentral:rRNA from 1 species